rnacentral:miRNA from 1 species
UCCUACGCUUCUCAGGGCUGCACC